CAAUCAUUGAUGAUGAGAAUUUAGCAAGUGUGGGUGAACAGAAUCAAGCAACCAUGGACAACAGGUGCAGGAAUGGCCGUUUGUCUCAUUCUUUGAGAAGAAAAGAGGGGGUUGGGUGAUGGGUUCAUUAAAGCAUGCCAUCAUCACCGCUGAUAUUUUAUCUAAAUUGGACCCCCCACAAAUUGAGAUGUAUGGAUCCAGAAUGUUAUACAAAUUUGAAAUGGUGUGAAGAUGAGAACAGAAGAAAUAAUGAAAUUCAUAAAUUGGAAAUAAACUUUUGAAGAAAUACAUAAAAA